CGACCCUAUGUCAGAUGGGGCUACGCACUGAGUUUAAGCAUAUCAAUAAGCGGAGG
rnacentral:rRNA from 1 species